rnacentral:lncRNA from 1 species
GCCGUGGUGAGAGGAAGCUGUUUACAGGCCAUGGUGAGAGGAAGCUGUUUACAGGCCGUGGUGAGAGGAAGCUGUUUACAGGCCAUGGUGAGAGGAAGCUGUUUACAGGCCGUGGUGAGAGGAAGCUGUUUACAGGCCGUGGUGAGAGGAAGCUGUUUACAGGCCAUGGUGAGAGGAAGCUGUUUACAGACCGUGGUGAGAGGAAGCUGUUUACAGGCCAUGGUGAGGGGAAGCUGUUAGCAGGCCAUGGUGAGAGGAAGCUGUUUACAGGCCGUGGUGAGAGGAAGCUGUUUACAGGCCGUGGUGAGAGGAAGCUGUUUACAGGACAUGGUGAUAGGAAGCUGUUUACAGACCGUGGUGAGAGGAAGCUGUUUACAGGACGUGGUGAGAGGAAGCUGUUUACAGGCCGUGGUGAGAGGAAGCUGUUUAGAGGCCGUGGUGAGAGGAAGCUGUUUACAGACCGUGGUGAGAGGAACCAACAGGUCUACUGACCUGGAGUCAAAAACUUCCUACUGGGAUCAAACAUAAUUCCUAGUACUGGUACAGCAAUAACAGACCUCCUAGUACUGGUACAGCUAUAACAGAACACCUAGUACUGGUACAGCUAUAACAGAACACCUGGUACUGGUACACGGCUAUAACAGAAC